rnacentral:rRNA from 1 species
GAUGAACGCUGGCGGCGUGCCUAAUACAUGCAAGUCGAGCGAACAGACGAGGAGCUUGCUCCUCUCACGUUAGCGGCGGACGGGUGAGUAACACGUGGAUAACCUACCUAUAAGACUGGGAUAACUUCGGGAAACCGGAGCUAAUACCGGAUAAUAUAUUGAACCGCAUGGUUCAAUAGUGAAAGACGGUUUUGCUGUCACUUAUAGAUGGAUCCGCGCCGCAUUAGCUAGUUGGUAAGGUAACGGCUUACCAAGGCAACGAUGCGUAGCCGACCUGAGAGGGUGAGCGGCCACACUGGAACUGAGACACGGUCCAGACUCCUACGGGAGGCAGCAGUAGGGAAUCUUCCGCAAUGGGCGAAAGCCUGACGGAGCAACGCCGCGUGAGUGAUGAAGGUCUUCGGAUCGUAAAACUCUGUUAUUAGGGAAGAACAAAUGUGUAAGUAACUAUGCACGUCUUGACGGUACCUAAUCAGAAAGCCACGGCUAACUACGUG